rnacentral:rRNA from 1 species
AUCAGCCUACGGGGCGCAGCAGUGGGGAAUAUUGCGCAAUGGGGGCAACCCUGACGCAGCAACGCCGCGUGCGGGAUGAAGGCUUUCGGGUUGUAAACCGCUUUCAGCAGGGAUGACAUCGACAGUACCUGCAGAAGAAGCCCCGGCUAACUACGUGCCAGCAGCCGCGGUAAUACGUAGGGGGCGAGCGUUAUCCGGAUUCAUUGGGCGUAAAGCGCGCGCAGGCGGGCUUGCAAGGGGGGCCUUUAAUCUUGGGGCUUAACCUCAAGUCGGGGUCCGAACUGCAAGCCUCGAGUGGCGUAGGG